CACGCCGUAAACGAUGAGAACUAGCCGUCGGGUCCAUUUACGGAUUUGGUGGCGCAGCUAACGCGUUAAGUUCUCCGCCUGGGGAGUACGGCCGCAAGGUUAAAACUCAAAGGAAUUGACGGGGGCCCGCACAAGCGGUGGAGCAUGUGGUUUAAUUCGAUGCAACGCGAAGAACCUUACCUGGCCUUGACAUCCCAGGAACCCUGCGGAGACGCGGGGGUGCCUUCGGGAACCUGGAGACAGGUGC
rnacentral:rRNA from 1 species